rnacentral:lncRNA from 10 species
CUGAAGAAGAGCCUGUCCUUGCCAGGACUGCCCUGCCCCACAUCCCAGGCACCAGCUGCUGGAAACGUGGGAUUGGAGCCUUGGAGGGAAACCAGAGCUCCCAGGGCCACACCAAAGGAGAUAGCUGGCUUGCCAGGUGUUUCUCUGACAAUUAGCCAUGUGGGCAAACCUUGAGUCCUGGGGGCACUUCUAAAAGGUAUGCUGCUAUGGGUUCUGGCUCAAGACCCAGAGAAGUGUUCAAGAGAAGCCUGAAAAAAAAUACAGCUCAGAGAGGUUAUGUGACUUGCCCAGGACCACACAGCCAGGAGCCUGAUCCAUUUCACAGAGGAAGAAACUGAGGCUCAGGGAGACUACGUCCCUCGCCCCAGUCCUGCAAGCUGGUCAGCAGUAGAGCCAGGAGGCAAGCCCAGGCCACUGGUGGUAAAAGCCUUGGCCCUCCACCACCAGACCUCCUACCUAAGAAGAGAACAAUGCAGCCCCAAAGCCUGGGUUUCCUCAGCAAAUGCUGGAGUCUCCGAAAAAGAGCUCAGAUGACUCUGGGUUCUACAACUCUCCGCCUCCAUUAUUACAGCCCAAUGCUCCCGUUCCCAGACUCACUAGGCAGAGGCUGGAUCCUGCCUGAUUCAUUCCUUUAAUCAGGGCUGAAGCAGCUUCCUGAAGAACACUUAGACCCUCGUUAAAAUUAAGUCAUUGCUUUAAUAACCACAGGGCAGAGAUGGCUGCAGCUGGGAGCGUGUGAGCUCUCAGCACUCCCCAUGGGUCUUGAUGAGCUGGGCACUGCCGUGGGAUACCAGGUGCUCCAAUUUCUCCACUUCACAUCUGAUGCCUUUCUCCUUUUCUCCCAGGGCCACACCAAAGGAGAUAGCUGGCUUGCCAGGUGUUUCUCUGACAAUUAGCCAUGUGGGCAAACCUUGAGUCCUGGGGGCACUUCUAAAAGGUAUGCUGCUAUGGGGUUCUGGCUCCAAAUCCAGAGAAGUGUUCAAGAGAAGCUUGAAAAAAAAAAAAAACACUGCUCAGAGCAGUUACAUUACUUGCCCAGGAGGACACAACCAGCUAGAGGGAGCACAGGAUCUGAAACCCAAGUCUGUGUAAACCUUAAACCCAACACAGUAUAUUCCUCUUACCUCAUCACAUGGUGUCAGUGUGUCUUCGUGGGUCCCACAAAGGCACCUGUUCCGGGGACAAGUGCCAUCUCACCUGGGAGGACAGACCUGCCAUUGUUACUCACUAGCUCUGAGAGUUGAGGUAAAUUGCCUGACUUUUCUGUGCCUCAAAUUCUUCAUCUGUCAUACAGGAUAUCAGAUUAUUGUGAAGCUUGAAUGAGACAAUAAAUGUGCAAAUGCUCUGUCAAUUGUAAAGU